GAUGAACGCUGGCGGCGUGCCUAAUACAUGCAAGUCGAGCGAACAGAUGAGGAGCUUGCUCCUCUGACGUUAGCGGCGGACGUGUGAGUAACACUUUGAUAACCUACCUAUAAGACUGUGAUAACUUCGGUAAACCGGAGCUAAUACCGGAUAAUAUAUUGAACCGCAUGGUUCAAUAGUGAAAGCCGGUUUUGCUGUCACUUAUAGAUUGAUCCGCGCCGCAUUAGCUAGUUGGUAAGGUAACGGCUUAACAAGGCAACGAUUCGUAUCCGACCUUAGAGGGUGAUCGGACACACUGGAACUGAGACACGGUCCAGAAACCUACGGGAGGAAGCAGAAGGGAAUAUUCCGCAAUGGGAGAAAGAAUGAAGGAGCAAAGCCGCGUGAGUGAUGAAGGUAUUCGGAUCGUAAAACUCUGUUAUUAGGGAAGAACAAAUGUGUAAGUAACUAUGCACGUCUUGACGGUACCUAAUCAGAAAGCCACGGCUAACUACGUG
rnacentral:rRNA from 1 species